rnacentral:rRNA from 1 species
UACGGGGGGGGGCAAGCGUUGUUCGGAAUUACUGGGCGUAAAGGGCUCGUAGGCGGCCAACUAAGUCGGACGUGAAAUCCCCAGGCUCAACCUGGGAACUGCGUCCGAUACUGGUUGGCUUGAGUUUGGGAGGGGGAUGGAAUUCCGCGUGUAGCAGUGAAAUGCGUAGAUAUGCGGAGGAACACCGAUGGCGAAGGCAAUCCCCUGGGCCUGCACUGACGCUCAUGCACGAAAGCGUGGGGAGCAAACAGG